AUAUGCACUAACCCUCAAGGACCCAAGCAAGCUUGGGUACCCAAAAUAAAAAUAUGAGGGUGUAGAUAUAAGUGUGCCAAGCUACCCAUGGAAUAAAUGAAACUUUCAUACAAAUGGGUGCGUUGACACAUAAUUAAAGAUAAGUCUCAAUUUAUUUAUUAAAUCUAGUAUAAGAUUUAACAUUCUACAUCGUGUAUCAAAAUUAUCUUUUUAUGAAAUUACGAUACUCUCUGCAUCAAA
rnacentral:lncRNA from 1 species